CCUACGGGUGGCUGCAGUCGAGAAUCUUCGGCAAUGAGCGCAAGCUUGACCGAGCGACGCCGCGUGUGGGAUGAAGGCCCUCGGGUUGUAAACCACUGUCGUAGGGGAGGAAGGCUCCGUGAAGAGCGGGGCUUGACCUCUCCUAGGAGGAAGUACGGGCUAAGUUCGUGCCAGCAGCCGCGGUAAGACGAACCGUACGAACGUUAUUCGGGAUUACUGGGCUUAGUGGGUUUGUUUGCAGCCUUGUUGGGAAAGCCCUCGGCUCAACCGAGGAAUAGCGCUUGAUACUGCAAGGCUUGAGGGAGACAGGGGUAAGCGGAACUGAUGGUGGAGCGAUGAAAUGCGUUGAUAUCAUCAGGAACACCGGUGGCGAAAGCGGCUUACUGGGUCUCUUCUGACGCUGAGGAACGAAAGCUAGGGGAGCGAACGGGAUUAGAUACCCUUGUAGUC
rnacentral:rRNA from 1 species